rnacentral:rRNA from 1 species
GCGGUGGAGCAUGUGGUUAAUUCGAAGUAACGCGAAGAACCCUUUACCAGGUCUUGACAUCCCGAUGCUAUUUCUAGAGAUAGAAAGUUACUUCGGUACAUCGGUGACAGGUGGUGCAUGGUUGUCGUCAGCUCGUGUCGUGAGAUGUUGGGUUAAGUCCCGCAACGAGCGCAACCCCUAUUGUUAGUUGCCAUCAUUCAGUUGGGCACUCUAGCGAGACUGCCGGUAAUAAACCGGAGGAAGGUGGGAUGACGUCAAAUCAUCAUGCCCCUUAUGACCUGGGCUACACACGUGCUACAAUGGUUGGUACAACGAGUUGCGAGUCGGUGACGGCGAGCUAAUCUCUUAAAGCCAAUCUCAGUUCGGAUUGUAGGCUGCAACUCGCCUACAUGAAGUCGGAAUCGCUAGUAAUCGCGGAUCAGCACGCCGCGGUGAAUACGUUCCCGGGCCUU